rnacentral:rRNA from 1 species
UACGGGGGGGGCAAGCGUUGUUCGGAAUUACUGGGCGUAAAGGGCGCGUAGGCGGCCGAUCAAGUCGGGGGUGAAAGCCUGUGGCUCAACCACAGAAUUGCCUUCGAUACUGGUUGGCUUGAGACCGGAAGAGGUAAGUGGAACUGCGAGUGUAGAGGUGAAAUUCGUAGAUAUUCGCAAGAACACCAGUGGCGAAGGCGGCUUACUGGUCCGGUUCUGACGCUGAGGCGCGAAAGCGUGGGGAGCAAACAGG